AAUCAACGCUGGCGGCGUGCCUCAGACAUGCAAGUCGAACGAUUAAAGCUCUCUUCGGAGAGUGUAUAGAGUGGCGCACGGGUGAGUAACACGUAAGUAAUCUACCUUUGAGUGGGGAAUAACCCGGGAACCCGAGACUAUACCGCAUAAUGCAGCGGCAUCGCAAGAUGACAGUUGUUAAAGGAGCAAUCCGCUUAAAGAGGAGCUUGCGGCAGAUUAGCUAGUUGGUAAGGUAA
rnacentral:rRNA from 1 species